rnacentral:rRNA from 1 species
GAUGAACGCUGGCGGCGUGCUUAACACAUGCAAGUCGAACGGUGAAGCAGAGCUUGCUCUGUGGAUCAGUGGCGAACGGGUGAGUAACACGUGAGCAACCUGCCCCUGACUCUGGGAUAAGCGCUGGAAACGGCGUCUAAUACUGGAUAUGAGCUGCGACCGCAUGGUCAGCAGUUGGAAAGAUUUUUCGGUCUGGGAUGGGCUCACGGCCUAUCAGCUUGGUGGUGAGGUAAUGGCUCACCAAGGCGUCGACGGGUAGCCGGCAUGAGCGGGUGACCGGCCACAUUGGGAAGGGGAUACGGCGCAGAGGAAUCCGGGAGGGAGCAGGGGGGAAGAGUGCACAAGGGGCGGAAGCAGGAUGCAGCAACGCCGCGGGAGGGAGGACGGCCGUCGGGUUGGAAAACGACUGCGCCUGUGACGAAGCGUGAGUGACGGUAAUGGGUAAAAAAGCACCGGCUAACUACGUG